rnacentral:rRNA from 1 species
AACUGCGAGUGAAGCGGGAAAAGCUCAAAUUUAAAAUCUGGCGGUCUUUGGCUGUCCGAGUUGUAAUUUAGAGAAGCGUCUUCCGCGCCGGACUGUGCACAAGUCUCCUGGAAUGGAGCGUCAUAGAGGGUGAGAAUCCCGUCUUUGGCACGGAUGCCCGGUGCUUCUGUGAUGCGCUCUCGAAGAGUCGAGUUGUUUGGGAAUGCAGCUCAAAAUGGGUGGUGAACUCCAUCUAAAGCUAAAUAUUGGCGAGAGACCGAUAGCGAACAAGUACCGUGAGGGAAAGAUGAAAAGCACUUUGGAAAGAGAGUGAAACAGUACGUGAAAUUGUUGAAAGGGAAACGCUUGAAGUCAGUCGCGUUGACCGAGACUCAGCCUCGCCUUGUGGCUUGGUGUAUUUCUCGGCCCGACGGGUCAGCAUCAAUUUUGCCUCUUGGAUAAUGGCAAGGGAAAGGUGGCACCUUUACGGGUGUGUUAUAGUCUCCUGUCGCAUGCGAGGGGUGGGAUUGAGGAACUCAGCGCGCACCUUUGUGUCGGGGCUUUG